rnacentral:rRNA from 1 species
AUGAUACUUUCUGUUUUGUCGAGCCCUGCUUUGGUCUCUGGUUUGAUGGUUGUACGUGCUAAAAAUCUGGUACAUUCCGUUUUGUUUCCCAUCCUAGUCUUUUGUGACACUUCUGGUUUACUUAUUUUGUUAGGUCUCGACUUCUCCGCUAUGAUCUCCCCAGUAGUUCAUAUAGGAGCUAUUGCCGUUUCAUUCCUAUUUGUGGUUAUGAUGUUCAAUAUUCAAAUAGCGGAGAUUCACGAAGAAGUAUUGCGCUAUUUACCAGUGAGUGGUAUUAUUGGACUAAUCUUUUGGUGGGAAAUGUUCUUCAUUUUAGAUAAUGAAACCAUUCCAUUACUACCAACCCACAAAAAUACGACCUCUCUGAGAUAUACGGUUUAUGCCGGAAAGGUACGAAGUUGGACUAAUUUGGAAACAUUGGGCAAUUUGCUUUAUACCUACUAUUUCGUCUGGUUUUUGGUUUCUAGUCUGAUUUUAUUAGUAGCUAUGAUUGGGGCUAUAGUACUUACUAUGCAUAGGACUACAAAGGUGAAAAGAUAG